GCUAGUAAUGGCAGGUCAGCAUACUGCCGUGAAUACGUUCCCGGGCCUUGUACACACCGCCCGUCACACCAUGAGAGUUGGGGAUACCCAAGCCCGUGAGCCAACUGUAAAGAGGCAGCGGUCUAAGGUAGAAUCAAUGAUUGGGGUGAAGUCGUAACAAGGUAAC
rnacentral:rRNA from 1 species